AUGGCGGCCGCCGCAUUGGCCGGGCUCCUCGUCGCCCUCGCCGCCGCGACCGCGGGGGCCACCACCGAGUCCUCCGACGCCGCCGCUCUGGGGAAUCUCUACACCUCCUGGAACAGCCCGCCGCAGCUGGCCGGCUGGUCGGCCGGCGGCGGCGACCCCUGCGGCGCGGGGUGGCAGGGCGUCUCCUGCACCGGCUCAGGCGUCACCGAAAUCAAGCUUCCUGGGACAGGGCUGAACGGCUCUCUGGGCUACGAACUCUCCAAUCUGUUCUCACUCAAAACACUGGAUUUGAGCAACAACCAAAUUCAAGGUUCAAUUCCUUACCAGCUGCCACCGAAUCUCACAUAUCUGAAUCUGGCGACCAACAAUUUCUCUGGCAAUCUCCCAUACUCCAUAUCCAACAUGGCUUCGAUUGAGUACCUCAACCUCAGCCACAACUCACUGGCCCAACAAAUAGGCGAUUUGUUUGGAAACCUCACUUCACUUUCAGAGUUGGACGUGUCUUUCAACAAACUGACAGGGGAUCUUCCAACUUCUAUUGGCUCUCUAUCAAAUAUUUCUAGUCUCUAUAUGCAAAACAAUCAGUUAACAGGUUCUGUCAAUGUUCUAAGUGGUCUAGGCCUUACUACCCUAAACAUUGCAAACAACAAUUUCAGUGGCUGGAUACCAAAAGAAUUCAGCUCAAUCCCAGACGUGAUACUUAAUGGAAACUCAUUCCUGAAUGGACCUGCUCCUCCACCACCACCUUUCAUGCCACCACCCCCUAGAAGGCCGCGCAGUCGUCCUAACCGUUCUGGGGGAAGUGGAAAUGCUCCAAAAGGCUCUGAGAGCUCCACUAGUCAAGGUGGGAAGAAUGGUCUGCAGACAGCUUCGCUUGUGGGGAUAAUUGUUGGCUCAGUACUUGCUGCUUUGUGUGUGCUUCUUCUUUUGGUAUUAUGCAUUCGUAAAUCUCGGAAAAGGAAGGAUGAUAGCAGCACAGAAUCCAAAGAUUUUGUAGGUCCACUAUCAGUGAACAUAGAGGAAGUAUCUAACAGGGAAAUCCCAGAGCAAGGUCUUGAAAAUACGGCUAUGAAAGUCCUGCCUGCUGAGAAAAUGACUCCCGAGAGGGUUUAUGGUAAAACUGGUUCUAUGAGAAAGACAAAGGUUCCCAUAACUGCGACACCUUACACCGUGGCUUCCCUCCAAGUUGCGACGAAUAGCUUCUGUCAAGAUUCCCUUCUGGGAGAGGGUUCACUUGGUCGUGUUUACAAGGCUGAUUUCCCCAAUGGGAAGGUUAUGGCUGUUAAGAAGGUAGACAGUGCCGCUAUUUCCUUGCAGGAAGAAGAUGAUUUCCUUGAGGUUGUAUCAAGUAUGUCACGACUUAGGCAUCCAAACAUCGUGCCGCUUACAGGGUACUGUGUGGAGCAUGCCCAAAGGCUUCUUGUUUAUGAGUACAUUGGAAACGCAACGCUGCAUGAUAUGCUGCACUUCUCUGAUGAGAUGAGCAGAAGACUUACAUGGAACAUCCGUGUAAGAAUAGCACUAGGCACUGCUCGGGCAUUAGAAUACCUGCAUGAGGUUUGCUUGCCCUCUGUUGUUCAUAGAAAUUUUAAGUCCGCAAACAUUCUACUUGAUGAAGAGCAUAAUGCACAUUUAUCUGACUGUGGGCUCGCUGCCUUGACACCCAAUACUGAGAGACAGGUUUCUACUGAAGUGGUUGGCUCAUUUGGAUACAGUGCCCCAGAGUUUUCCAUGUCAGGAAUUUAUACUGUAAAGAGUGACGUGUACAGUUUUGGAGUAGUGAUGCUAGAGCUAUUGACUGGAAGGAAGCCGCUAGACAGUUCUAGAGAGAGGUCAGAACAGUCUCUUGUUAGAUGGGCUACGCCUCAGCUUCAUGAUAUCGAUGCACUUUCUAAGAUGGUUGAUCCAGCAUUAAAUGGAAUGUACCCUGCGAAAUCGCUCUCCCGCUUUGCAGACAUAAUUGCACUUUGUGUUCAGCCGGAGCCAGAGUUCCGUCCUCCUAUGUCUGAGGUUGUCCAGCAACUUGUGCGCCUGAUGCAGAGGGCUAGCAUAGUAAGGCGGCAAUCAGGUGAGGAACUAGGGUUUUCUUACAGGGCUCCAGAACGUGAAGGAGAAACAAGAGACAUUUCCUUCUGA
rnacentral:rRNA from 1 species